UUUUUAUGGAGAGUUUGAUCCUGGCUCAGGAUGAACGCUGGCGGCGUGCCUAAUACAUGCAAGUCGAGCGAACAGACGAGGAGCUUGCUCC
rnacentral:rRNA from 1 species